AUAAUUAUUGAAAUGUGCAUUAGCUUAUUAGCUUAACUAGCAAUAAAGUUUAAAAAAUCGAGAAAAGUGAAGUUUACACCACUAUAGGAUAAGUACGAUGUUUUUAAUGCUUUUAACUGAGUUUCUUAUUCUCUCCAAGGCUGCAUUUAUAUCAAUACACACUGCAGUGCUUAUUUUUCCAGGACAUUUAAUGCACUAUAAAAUGCAUUGUCCAUGUCUGGCCGCUGGGGUGCAGUGUGAUCGCAAUAAUUAAAUAUCUGUCCAUGACAGAAGUGGCAUAGGACAAAAAAAAGUUUUGUCUGCAAUAUUUAGAUCAUUAGGUUAGUUAAAACAGUGGCAACUUUUAAGUGUGUGAGUGCAUCUCAUGUUUUAUUGUUAUUAAAUAUAAAUUGUUUUAUAUUUGUUGACAAGCCAGAGCAGAAUGUCUGUGAGCAUCUUCAUCAGUAUGCAUACAGUGUAAAUACAAACAUAUGUUGCUUUAUUGAAUAUUAGCUCUUUGUAUGCCAUACUGAUGAAGGUGCCCACGGUGUUUCAGUUCUGGUUUGUGCGCGGCCAUAUCAUGAGGUGUCCUCGUUAAAGAUACGGGCGGCCUGGAGGAAUCAGCUCCUUAUGAUUUAUGUACCGGUUCAAAGCUGGUGGUGCCAUUUUCCUGACUGCAGCAUUAACAACAAGCUAUUGUUUGGGUGGCUUGGAUCCUCAGCAGUCCCUCAAGGAGCUGCUAAAAACACACCUUUUCCACAAUCACUCAUUCACCCCCAUACUCUUAAACCAUUAUUUUUCUUCUCUGAAGUUCUCCUCAUCUCUAGCUUGCUCUGUUUGAUAGACCGGGCGUUGUAUUUUACAGUUAUUGUUGGUUUUCUGACGAAUUGCUCUUACUUCUGCCUCUGCUAUAUACUUCAACCAUACACUCACUUGACCAUCUGCACGUCUCUGCCGUCUUGAGCUGUUCUGCUCCCAUGCCAGGCAGUAAUACUACCUGAUGGGAUGCUUUAAAUAGUGCAUGUGUAGAAAGGGUGUCCUCAUAAACUUCUCCUGCUCCUCAAGCCACCCUGCUGUCCCCUGACUGAGCUGUUAGCUGCGCGAUUCAUUUCAUCUGUGACUGUGUGAAGUUGCUUUUCUUUUUUUAUUAAUAGAAUUGGAGUCAUUUAAGGCAAUACAUCAGUUCAGUUACAUCAGGCUCAGAAAAGAGAUUUUUAUUAAGAGGCGCAAUAGGCUUCCUUUGAUUGAUUUCUGGGAUUCUUUAAUACUGGAUUCUGAUUGGUCAGUCGCCACGUUCCAAGGAAGCCGUGCUAUAAGCGGGAUAACGUACAUCCAGCAGUAAUACCCAUCAUGCUGAGGCAGAGGUCUUUAGUGCUGUACCACGAGCGUUUCUUUCUCUGCAGCCCAGAUGUGCUGUUGACUCCCGCAGGAGGAUGAUGGAAGAGAGAGGAAGGAAACGCUUGAGCUACUUGCUGUAGUGCCACAAGCUGUGCAGCGAGGAGGCAGGAUCGCACAGCCCAGCCUUUCACAAACAGCUGCUUCUAGUGCCACUAGAUGUAUUAUGGUGGGAAGGGGGUGGAAGCUGCUCCCUGCACUUCUCAACGUGCCAGAAAGUGUUAUCAGUUCAGCGUUAAUGCAUGUGUCGUGUCUUACUUUCCAUUACCCGUUCUUUUAUCGCUGCGUGUGUAUCAGUGAGAAACCGCUGCUGAAUUUAAAUGAGACAUCCUGUUGCUAGUUGCUUAUGACUGUUAGCGUGUCAUGAGGACACUUUUCUGAAAAGUAAAUUGUGCAUUUCCUCUCUUAAUUGAAAAGACGUUUUUUCCCCUUAAUGACCGAAUCAUUAGAAAACGAUUGACGGUAACACUUUACAAUAAGGAUCAAUUCGUUACAUCUGUUAAUGCAUUAGGUAUUAUGAACUAACAAUGCUAAAUCUCUCUGCAGUUCAUACACUCAGUACCCACAAUUUAACCCCAGAAAACAUGUUGCCAAAUCUGUGAUUUUCCUGUGAUUAUAACAUAACAUUUUUCAAGUCUCAGUCCACAAAGCUUAAUUUACUUUCCCGUUUGAUUCGUUUGUUGGACGAAAUGUCGGAUUUAGUCAGAUGGUCUGUCAAUUAAGCCCUCUGCGAAGGGUCAGUUGGACUUGUUUUAGACCUGGCCACCCUGCCUAGAAAUGUGGAAAGGCUCAGUUUUUCAUUUGCUUAUUCAUGUUUAUAAAAAGACUCAGUGACUGACCAAAAGUGACCAAAUAGAUUGUUUAAAAUAAAUUCUGCUCUUUAAAAAAUAAGUUAAUGGGUGAGCAAUAAGAAACGUCUUUCAAAAAUAUGACAUCAGGACAUCAGUCAGUAAUAAAAUGCUGUAAUUGCCAUCACCACAGAUCUCAUGACUUGCAUUUACAUGUUAGUUGAAUUUGACUCUAGAUAUUUGGCAUAUGCGCAUGCUUGAGGGAAAAGCAACAAAUGAAUAAUUCAUGGAAUAAAUGUGGUAAGUGCUUUCAAAUGGUCCCUAAACGCUCUCGCCACAGCUACUACAAUACUCCCCUGAUCCUUUCUUUUAUACUCACUCAGAUGUGCUAUGCAUGCACGAUUGAUUCAGCGCAACACUGCCAUUACUUCAUUAACAAACACUGCAAAAUUGAUAAUGCAGCCAUCACAUAAAAGACAAAGCUCUAAGAAAGUUCUCUCACUGGAGGAAAACCUGGUUAAGAUUGUUAAAAUAGCGAUAUCUUUACACCGGCCAUCCAUUUUGGAGGCUGCCUUUUCCUUUUAACCAGCCUGUAAAACUUGUGACAGACUAAACAGGAACUCGAUAAGCAAUUUCUCA